AGUGAACGCUGGCGGUAGGCCUAACACAUGCAAGUCGAACGGCAGCACAGUAAGAGCUUGCUCUUACGGGUGGCGAGUGGCGGACGGGUGAGGAAUACAUCGGAAUCUACUUUUUCGUGGGGGAUAACGUAGGGAAACUUACGCUAAUACCGCAUACGACCUACGGGUGAAAGCAGGGGAUCUUCGGACCUUGCGCGAUUGAAUGAGCCGAUGUCGGAUUAGCUAGUUGGCGGGGUAAAGGCCCACCAAGGCGACGAUCCGUAGCUGGUCUGAGAGGAUGAUCAGCCACACUGGAACUGAGACACGGUCCAGACUCCUACGGGAGGCAGAAGUGGGGAAUAGUGGACAAUGGGCGCAAGCCUGAUCCAGCCAUACCGCGUGGGUGAAGAAGGCCUUCGGGUUGUAGCCCUUUUGUUGGGAAAGAAAAGCAGCAGGUUAAUACCCCGCUGUUCUGACGGUACCCAAAGAAUAAGCACCGGCUAACUUCGUG
rnacentral:rRNA from 1 species